rnacentral:rRNA from 1 species
UACGUAGGGGGCGAGCGUUGUCCGGAUUUACUGGGCGUAAAGCGCGCGCAGGCGGUUCGUUAAGUCCGUUGUGAAAGCUCCCGGCUCAACUGGGAGAGGUCUUCGGAAACUGGCGGACUCGAGGGAGGCAGAGGAAGGUGGAAUUCCCGGUGUAGUGGUGAAAUGCGUAGAGAUCGGGAGGAACACCAGUGGCGAAGGCGGCCUUCUGGGCCUUUCCUGACGCUGAGGCGCGAAAGCGUGGGGAGCGAACCGG